UUGGAAGAGAGAUCGAGUGAAUUAAGAGACGUGAAAUUGAUGAACUUUAUGGAGGAGAUAUGUAUAUCACACGAGGCCAAGUUCAGUGUAAGCAAUGAAGUUAACGUGUUAACCGAAUGGAACCAAUCAAUAUGGUUACCGAUUGUUAUUCCUGAGAGAUCCAAGUGCUUUAACGACGACAACAAGGACACCCACUGCAGAUCAUCCUUGACCAUCAAAGAAACGUCAUAACGGAGAGCUACCAUGGCGUACCUAUGAUUAAGAUCAAGAUAUUGUAACCUUGAAAGAUUUCCUAGAUGAGGGGGGACUACACCACUGAAACCUGAGUAAGAGAGGUUCAAGUAUUCCAAAUACUUGAACGACCCGAAGAAUCCAGGAAUAUUUUGUCCUGAGAAGUUGUUCAUGCUCAGGUCCAAGUAACGCAGAUACUUCAAGUCGAGUAAUGAAGGACUUACCUUACCUUUGAGCCAACUACUUGUGUUUAAAACAUAGUCAGAGUCGCCAGUGAAAGACAAUAGAGAUCGAAGAUCAAGUUUGACAACAUGACCAUUUCUCAUGUCACACCUAAUUCCCUGCCACUCACAACAUUCUACUCCUGUCCAUGUUGCCAGCCUAUUUGAUUCGUCUGUGAGACCUUUUCUGAAUGCAAGCAGUAAUUGUCGCUCUCUUUGGAUACAUGUAACGUUUGAGGAAGUCGUGAUCAUGAUAUUGCUGCUGCUUGCGCCAUAUGUUUGAAUGAAUAGAAAUGAUGCAAAAAUGAGAAGAAAGGUGUUUUCCAUUUUGGAGUAAUUAAGAUAGAGUACGCGUUGUGUAAUUCGUAAGUAGGGGGAAUGGGGUGCAUAUAUAAUAAGGCAUGCCUUAAAAUCUUUUAUGAACGUAUACUUAGGUUGUGAUAUCGACUUGAGUCCACAAGACAUUCGAUAGUAGACCUGGAGUUAUGACCUGUUCAAAGUCUUCAAAGAGAUAGUGGCCACAUGCAGAAAAAGCUUAUUUGGGUCCAUAACGUGUUACUCAUAUUAUCGUCAUCCAACGACACUUGUUGUUUGGACUGUUUUGCAAAACUUGUUUGUAUUCAUGAAUCGCACAAUUCUUGUGAUCAGGAAUUUAACGGUAGACUUGGAGUCAUAAAUCAUUCAAAGUCUUUCAAGAGCCGGUGGCCAAAAAUACUUAUCAACUUGUUUGGGUCAUAAUAAGAUGUUAAUAUCAGUCAACAGUUGUCGACGGUAGUGUGAAACACGUAAACUCUCCUAUCAAAGUAGGAUGUGUCUUUUAGAGUUCUGGGUGGUUUUCUACAAGUUCUAUUUUGGCUUGCUAAAUGUCCCUGCAUUUGUCCUUUGAUUUUAUAAAGAGGACGGCAGAUUUGAUUCAGUUGCAGGUCUAAGGUCUCAUAUAUUGAGUUGUCCUAACAUAUUUUUCCUUUGUGCAGAUGCUUUUACUUAAUGAUCAUCUUUCACGAGUGUUCAAAUUUGAUCAACUCUAAUCUUGCUAAUUAUUAUUUACAUAAUGGUCAUAUUAUGUAGCAUGUAUUCAAGAGCAUCAGGAUUGUUUAUUUAGUGACACUGCUGUAUUUCGAUUAAAUACAACUCGAGGGGCAACAACCUAAAAAUAAUACGAAGAUGACAGGAAAAGUGGUUUCCAUUUUAUAGUGAUUAAGAUACAUUACACGUAUAAUUCAGAAGCAGAGGAAUGGGGCACAUUUGUCAUACAGUAAGCCUUAUAAUCUUUUGUGAACUUAUAAUUAGGUUGAUGUGGACGUGAGUCGACAAGACGUUGGAUAGUAGACUUGGAGCUAUGAAUCGUUCAAAGUCUUUCAAGAGAUAGUGUCCACAUACAGAAAAAGCUUGUUUGGGUCCAUAACGUGUUACUGGUAUAUAUUGUCAUCGAACGACGCUUGUUGAUUGGAGUGUUUUGCAAAAACUUGUUUGUAUUCAUGAAUCACAUAAUAGUCAUGAUAAAGAACUUAAUAGUAGACUUGGAGUCCUGAAUCAUUCCAAGUCUUUCAAGAGCCGGUGGCCACAUACAUAUCAACUUGUUGUAUUUUGGCUGACAAACACAAGGACGGUAGAUUUGAUUGAGUUGCAGGUCUAAGAUCUAAUGUACUGAGUUGAAACUAACAUAUUUGCUUAUAAUUACUUUACUUGAUGGGUCAUAUUUGUACCAUGUAUUCAAGCCUAUCAGGUUUGUAGUUGGUGACAUUGUUGUCUUUAGAUUAAUACAAUGACGCAUAUAAAUAGAUGUGUUUGAGUA